UGAACUGUUGGAAGCUCCUGAUGCAC
rnacentral:piRNA from 1 species